GACAGAGGAGCCAAGUGUUGUCCGGAUUUAUUGGGCGUAAAGAGCGUGUAGGCGGCCUGGAAGGUCAGCUGUGAAAACUCGAGGCUCAACCUCGAGACGUCGGUUGAAACCACCUGGCUAGAGUCCGGAAGAGGAGUGUGGAAUUCCCGGUGUAGCGGUGAAAUGCGCAGAUAUCGGGAGGAACACCAGUAGCGAAGGCGGCACUCUGGGCCGGUACUGACGCUGAGGAGCGAAAGCGUGGGGAGCGAACAGG
rnacentral:rRNA from 1 species